UAUAGGAACUCUGGCACUGAAAGCUUGAAUAACCCAAGGUAAUGAUGUCGUCACCAACGGAGGACAAGAAUAGAACCCAAAUCCCUUGACUCCCAAGCUUGUGUUUUCCAUUAAUUGUGCUCCUUUCUAUUCAUCCAAGAGCAUCAAGUGUAAAAGGCUGGAGAAAGGAGUGGACACAAAUGAGCCAAGUCCGCAAGGUGGAGACUGCACUGAAGGUCCUAGGAAUCGCCCCUUGGCACUUUCCUUUUGUGUUGGCUGAGGAAGAUGAAAGCAGCAACAACCACAAACUCCUGGGACCAAGAACUGGAACUAGACAAUGAGUUACAAGGCACUAAUAGUUCUGGAUCCUUGGGUGGUCUUGAUGUUCGCAGACGAAUUCCUAUAAAGCUCAUCUCCAAACAAGCAAACAAAGCGAAACCUGCACCGCGAACUCAAAGAACUAUAAACAGGAUGCCUGCAAAGGCUCCACCUGGUGAUGAAGAAGGAUUUGAUUAUAAUGAAGAAGAACGGUAUGACUGUAAAGGGGGUGAGCUGUUUGCAAAUCAGCGAAGAUUUCCUGGACACCUUUUUUGGGACUUUCAGAUAAACAUCUUAGGUGAAAAGGAUGAUACACCAGUUCAUUUCUGUGACAAGUGUGGAUUGCCUAUUAAAAUCUAUGGGAGAAUGAUUCCAUGCAAGCAUGUUUUUUGCUAUGACUGUGCUAUUUUACAUGAAAAAAAGGGAGAUAAGAUGUGUCCAGGCUGUAGUGAUCCUGUGCAGCGAAUUGAGCAGUGUACACGAGGUUCUCUCUUCAUGUGUAGCAUUGUUCAAGGGUGCAAGAGAACAUAUUUGUCUCAGAGAGACUUACAGGCUCAUAUCAACCAUCGCCAUAUGAGAGCUGGAAAACCUGUUACCCGUGCUUCACUUGAAAAUGUUCAUCCUCCUAUUGCCCCACCACCAACUGAAAUCCCUGAGCGUUUUAUAAUGCCACCAGACAAGCACCAUAUGAGCCAUAUUCCACCAAAGCAGCACAUCAUGAUGCCACCACCUCCUUUGCAACAUGUGCCACAUGAGCACUAUAAUCAGCCACACGAGGAUAUUCGUGCUCCUCCAGCAGAAUUGUCCAUGGCUCCACCUCCACCUCGAUCGGUCAGUCAGGAAACCUUUCGUAUUUCAACAAGAAAACACAGCAAUUUAAUAACCGUCCCUAUUCAGGAUGACUCAAAUUCAGGUGCUAGAGAACCACCACCUCCUGCCCCAGCACCUGCUCACCAUCAUCCUGAAUAUCAGGGUCAACCAGUGGUAUCGCACCCUCAUCAUAUUAUGCCUCCACAGCAACAUUAUGCACCACCCCCACCUCCUCCACCACCAAUAAGCCAUCCAAUGCCACAUCCUCCCCAGGCUGCAGGUACUCCUCACUUGGUAUAUAGCCAAGCUCCACCUCCACCAAUGACCUCUGCUCCACCACCAAUAACCCCUCCCCCUGGACAUAUUAUUGCCCAGAUGCCACCUUAUAUGAAUCAUCCUCCUCCAGGACCUCCCCCACCUCAACAUGGUGGUCCACCUGUAACUGCACCCCCUCCUCACCAUUAUAAUCCUAACUCAUUACCCCAGUUCACUGAAGAUCAAGGAACUCUGAGCCCUCCAUUUACACAACCAGGGGGAAUGAGUCCUGGUAUAUGGCCUGCACCAAGAGGGCCACCACCUCCUCCACGAUUGCAGGGUCCGCCUUCUCAAACCCCACUUCCUGGACCACAUCAUCCAGAUCAGACGAGAUAUAGACCGUAUUACCAAUGAUAAUAGUAUUUUGAACGGAAGAUAUGAGGGGGAAAAAAACUUAUGUAUAGUCAAUCUUUUAAUUAAGCUUUGACUGUUUUGGGAAGGAAGAGUACCUCUUACCGAGGUAGUAUAAAACACAUAGGGUCUUGUUUCUUAAAAUGGUUUUAAAUCUUGACCUUAAGAUUGAUUUCAAGUACCAUACUGUAGUACAGAUAAGUGGCUCAGUUGAGCACAGCUAUAUUUUAACAUCUCUUUGUUCCCCUAGUUUAGUAAAUUGACCCAGAGGUGACCAUUUGUAAAAAAAUUGGAAAAAAUUUUUCAUUGUUUUACUUCAAAAGUUUUGUUUUGUUAAACCCAACGUUUAGUUUUUCUUGUGAUACAUUUUGUUAACCUGUGUAAAAGGAUUAAAUUUCAAUAUGGUUGUAAAAAUGCUAUUUUUAUGUGAAUUUAAGUGCAGCCACAUACUGUUUUUUAAACCAUAUGUUUUACCACUAAUUUCCCAAAGUUAUAAUAAAAUCCUAAAAGUAAAAAUCUACUAGAAUUUGCUGUAAGGCAGACUGUUAAAUGAUAGAGAAUUAUUUCACAUUUUAGGCACUGAAAUGUUGAGGUUUCGAGGUAUAGUAAGUAUACAAUGCACUUCACUUGGAUGCCUUUUCAUUGUUAGGCAGCCUCAGGAGCACCAAAAUACAUUGGAAUUCUAGUACUAAGAUAUAUUUGUUGGUAAUGUUAAAAGACAUUACUAAUUAUUUGGAAAGAGAUGGCCAAAAUAAUCAACUCUACAGGCUUCAAGCUGGUGGGGGAAUGCUGUUACUCAUUAAUGCUUUUUUACUGAAUGGUCGGAAUCACAUAUGCACCACACAUACUGAUCUUAAGUAACAUUAUUUUAUAGAACUGUUUAAAUGGGUUUAAAUGGUGUUCUUUAGAUGAAAUGUGUUCCGUUUUGUUCAUUGUCUUAAACUGAAUAGGGCUGAAUAGGCUUUAUGUAAUUCUUCAUUUCAUGGUAGAGUUUGAUGCUGUGUUUAAGUGGGUUCUUGUUUAUAGGAUUUUCAACUACAGUUUGAAUGCCAUGGAGGAAUUUGCAUAAUAUAUUAAUGAAGGACAUAUUCUUGUAAUCACAAAUUUGCAUUUGCUCAGGUUUCAUUGCUGUGUGAUAGGAUUUUUCCUCUAACUUGAAAUUUAGAAACUUUUAUUUCCUAUUCCUUUUGUCGGUAAAGCAGUCUGAAUUUGGAACAUUUUAGCAUGGAGUCAACAGUGAAGACUACCAGAUAAUUUUGUAUUGGAGAAGAGGAAAUAACAGCUAAAUUGUGGAUUUCAGUGCUUUACAUGGUGCCUUUCGAGUCAGCUUUUACAUUAUAGGGGCUUGUUAUAGUUUAGCUAAGAUGACCACUCAACAGUUUAUACAGAACUCGUAUGUAUAAAUCAACAUUCUUAGGAUAUUAUUUAUAUCCUUUGAAUAAAUCCCUGUGAAGUUUUUCCUCCCCACUAAAAUGGUGCAUAAUAAAACAUGAAAUAUGUAGUAUGCAGAUAUCAUUUAUUAGAUAGUUUGUAGUGUAUACAUUUAGAACAUACUUCUUUUGACAAAGGGUGAUCUGAUUGCUAAUUUACCAUUUUAUUCUGUCAGGUACAGGUGAAACAAAUUCUCAUCUUGAAUGAUCAGAUGCAAAAUCAUUUCCGAACCCUAGAGCAGAAGUUAGAAAUAACAAAAUGGCCGUUUCAACCUUGACUGGCCAAAAAUAACUAAUAAACUUCUUUGUUUUAAGUCAGGCAAGUGAUUUUCUACAUUUAGCAGUUUGAAAGUCCAGUGUUAAUGCAAUAUUUCUAGUGAGAAAUGCUUGUUAUUAAAAGCAUGGGAGUGAUAGUGUGAAAUGGUGGUGAGUGCUUCUAUCAUAUUACUGUAGGUACUUGGACUGGUGCAAACUUGAUUCCUUUUCAUCCCCCUGUUUAGGAGCUAUUAAAAUAUUACUGUUAAAAAUCCAAACCAUUCUUUGUUCCAUGUAAUAAGAAAAUAGCCAAAAUCACUUUAGAGCUUCUCAACUAUUUAUGAAGAGCUAUCCUGCUUUUAUUAAAAGUCACUAGAGUUGAAUGUGGUAAGAAACCACUUAGCCUAUGUAUUGGACGAGAAAAUCAGUAUCAUGAUAAAAUUUUGAAUUAAGAGAACCCUUGUAGAGUUUUAAAAAAAUGAUUUAUUUUCAAUUAGGUUUAAGAAAUCUAUGUUAUGCAGGGAGGCAUAUCAGAUGAAUGUUGUAGCAGACAAAAGUUUUAAAUCGUGUUAGACUUGAAUUCAUCAAUUGUUUGAAUGAGGGUGGGUGGGUAGAAGGAUAACAAAAUUACUGUUAGUGUUUCUUUCCUUACGGAAAAAGAUGUGAAUCCCAGCCUUAUUUCAGGGAAGCCUUUGAAGCUAUGAUGGACAUAAGUCUAAAUUAAAUGUAUGUAUGUUUCAUUAUAUUGCUCUUAAGACUACUGAGGUG
rnacentral:lncRNA from 1 species